ensembl:lncRNA
UUUUUUUUCAGGUGUGACAUGAGAAUUGAGCUGCAUUUGAUUGAAUAGCAGCUAGCUCCUCCUUAGGACGGAUAAGUAUCAAGUAGAAGAAGAAAAUGAGCAAGAAGCUAGUUUCUACAGUGAACAAAAAGCAGCUCUCAUCUUUUGUGUGGUGGUGAAAGUCAAACUUUCAGAAGAAUUUUCUUCAGGAACAGUUCAAACAACAUCCAAAGCUCCUCUGUGUGGCCCUUCAGCUCCUUGUCUUAUAGGAUAUGUCUUCUUUGUCCCUGCUGCUCGGAUCUCACCCAGUGGCCUGUGGCAGACUCCUCCUAAACCUGGAAAAUUCUCACAGGUUUCUUCAAACACAUUUAGGAAGAAAAUGCAACUGAAAAUGGCAAAUACAAAUCCAGGUACAGGAAUGAGAGGCGAAACUGAAAUUCAUGGAUUAUUAAGUCCUGAAGAUGGCAGCAGAGGGACAAUCUGACAUGGAAGUGCAAUGAAGAAAAGGUGUGGAACUGAAUUCCUCCAUGCAGAGUAAAUGACAUCCAUUGACAUUAACUGGCACUUGCUGAAUGUUUAUGGAGACCAAACAGUGGAUAUGAGAACAGAGAGAAACCGUGUUCUCCAGCUGAAAAUUUGCUCUAUCAAAUAGUUUUACUGUGUUCUUCGUAUCUGUUGUAGUUUCCAUGGAAGUAAAGAGAAGCCAUUAUUUUCAGAAAAACCUACAUAAAUUAAAACAAAAAAUUCUCUAAACAAUAAAAUGUUGUUCAUGCAGAAAUACCAUGUCUGCUAAAACAUGUAAAAAUCCUUAUUCUAGAUGGUGGCAACAACUUAGAUAAACAGAAAUGGAGGCAAGAUUUCUGUUUUCAGAAGUGACUACUGAUCUUGGAUGGUCAGUGCAAGACAAGUUGUGCAACCUCAGCUUUUCAAAGUUCUGAAAACUAAAAAGUUUCUCUGAUCAAGCUUAUUCUCUAUUCUGUUGCUGAAAAUGAAUCCUAAGAGUUUUACUAACAUUCACUAACAGACUUGGUCAAGGAGUUAUGAAAUCCCAUUUUACAGUACAGUUAGGUCUUUCUGAACCCAUGCACGAAAACACCAUGCUUUAAAAUGUUAUCAACUUCUUUGAGAGCAGUCUGCAGAGACUGCUUCAGAAAGCCAAAGCAGUAGUGCACUGUAAAGCUUUACAAAAUUAAGUGUCUACAUUUCAAUGAUACAUACAGAGGAGGAAAGUUACUGAAAUGUAACCACAACCACUAUAACUGUGUAAAAAUAAGAAUUGAAUUCUGGCUAUUUUUAGUCACCACUAAUCUGAAGCAGGCACACCAAUUAUCUCAACAGGAACAAUAACGGGUCUUUCCUGCCACUUAAAAAAAUAAAAUAAAACAAAAGAAAUGCAACAACAAAACCCCAAGCUCCACAGCUAACCAACCAACCAACCAACCACCACCACCACCAACAACAAAAAAACACCAAAAAUGAACCAUGAUCCCCUAGCACCUAAUUUCCUAAUACACUCCAUCUCAGACAAAACACUGUUUGCUAUUUAUGAGGAUCACUAGCUAAUUAAAGAAGAGCAUGAUGUUCUUAACAGAGUACUCAUAGUAACUAUCCUAGAACACCCUCCUACUUAUUCUGUGUCCUUUGUUUUUAAAAUAUUGUCAAUAUCAACUACUCAAUGUUGUAACUGCUUCUCUGCAAUGGUAUCUCUUUCACAAAGACAUAAAGAGAAACCAUUAAGUAAAGUUGUUCCAGUUGCAUGGAGGGUUAUCACAUACAAAUAUUUGUUCUUUCUUGUUUUUCAUUUCACAAAGAUGUUAGGAAAAGCCAGAGAAAGGUGGAUAAUUUCAUGGAUUCUGAAGGGAUUUGAAAGGUCUGCAUUUUUUCACUCUCCAUUCUGAUAAUCUCCUUGCCAAUUUGAGUUGUCCAAUUGUGGACCAGCAUUUCUACAAGUUCAGGCAUGAAUCUCCAACCUGCCAGUCACUGCACAGGCUGCUGCCUUUGUCAGCAAGCCUAUGAUCUUCUGAAACCAUCAGAUUCAGCUUCCUCAGAGGCUUAGCCUCUUGUCUUUACGCUCAUAUACAUCACACUUUCAGAAAGUUUUCAUUGUACUUUGCAAGUUCUUCAUUUCUUACACAAACAGAAAAAGCAGAGCAUCAAUAUUAAACAGUUUUUAAACAAGGCAUUUCAGUUUUUCAACUUGGGAAGCAAUUUACAGAAAGUAGCUUUCACUUCCCUCAUAGCUUCGUAUUCAAAAGAGGGUCAUGCACUAAGGCUUUGCAUGUGUGAAUUCUUUAGCUGAGCCAUAACCUAUAAAACAUAGAAACCAACACUCAUGCAAAGAAACAAAAAAAACUCCUAAUGUUAUUAAAUUAUGAAUCGCUUAGUGCUUUCACUCAGUACCACUACAGCUAUGCUGGUGAAGUCGCACACAAAAUUUCCUUAAUGCUGCACAAGUGUGAUUUCUAGCCCAACUAUAUUUUAAUCUUAGUUUACCUGCUAAAUCUGGAUGAGCCAGAAUGCACUGUGAUGAGAUAAACUCACAAGGGACUAUUAUGGCUGAAUAUAUUUUAACAACAAAGACC